rnacentral:lncRNA from 1 species
GUCAUCAUCUCUUUGCCAGGAAAUGAAUACCAUGUUUCAUCAUGAUGAUGUCCUUUGCUUCUGUACUGUGCCAUGGGUCCAAGGGAAACUGUCAUGGCGGCCUGUUAGGAUCCAUUCUUGCAGUCAGUGAUUCCCUCCUGAUCAUCUUAGAAUUGCAGGAUACCUCAGUUCCUGAAGUGCUGAACAGAAACCCUGAAUGAAUGUUGAUGUUUGGGGUACCUACAUAGGCUGUAUAUGGAAAGAAUCAAAACUAUGUACUGUUUCCAAGAAGAGCGGGAAGGACUAAGCAAUGGGAGUUAAGUGGCUUACCCACAGUCACAUGGCUAGGAAGUGUCUGAAGUCAAAUUUGAACCCAGGACCUCCUGUCUCUAGACUUGCUCUCAAUCUACUGAGCCAUCCAACUGCCCCCAUGGUAAGGGAAAUUGAAGAGCUUGACCUUGGAAGUUUCAAAAGACAGGAGAAUGAGCUAUCAGAAGUCCAGGUGUCUGGAAUUAAGCUCAUGUGGGAUUUUGCAACCACCCUAGCAGCAACGACCAAGAGAGGUACAAGAUGGCACAGUGGACAUUAG